rnacentral:misc_RNA from 1 species
GAAAUGCGAUACUUGGUGUGAAUUGCAGAAUCCCGUGAACCAUCGAGUUUUUGAACGCAAGUUGCGCCCUAGGCCAUCCGGCUGAGGGCACGCCUGCCUGGGCGUCACGCACUGAGUCGCCCCUUCUUCUCUGAGGAGAGAUGGAGCGGAGAUUGGCCCCCCGUGCUUCCGAGUGCGGUCGGCCUAAAUCUUGGCCCUUGGAGGCCGGCGUCACGAUCCGUGGUGGUUGGCAUCAAUUGUCUUAUCCGGAAUCCGUGGUCGUCGUUCCUCCUUUUGGACACAAGGAACCCUCGAGAGGUUUAGGCCUCCACUCUGCGACCCCAGGUCAGGCGGGACCACCCGCUGAAUUUAA